ensembl:lncRNA
AAGCCAAAGUAGUUUACUAGAAGAGUCUCGCCUUCCAGAGGAGUGGGCCAGCAUUAAUACGCAACCGUACUCAGUCAUUGGCUAGAAGCCGAAGGAGACCUCAGAUGAGUAUAAAGAGGAGAGGCCAAGUGAGAAAUCAUUUCACUUCUGGUCCCCAAAUGUGUGGAGGUUUCUCCCCACAAGAACAAGCAGUUCUCAGACAGCAGCAAGGUGUCCAAGAAUUCAACUCAGUUCUGACACUAUCUACCCAGGACAGCACCAGAUCACACAGGAUAUGAUAAAGGAUGCAGAUGAACAGCCAGAUGAAGAGAUGCAUGCGGCGAGGUCUGGGAUGAUCCUGAGUGCAGGAGCUUCUGUCCUCAAGGAGUUGGGGUGUGUCACCCCCCAUGUGGUUGUUCACCCACCUGGAAGUUCUCUGAACCCCCUAUUAUUGGGAUUUUAUGGAGGCUUCCUCAUACUAGCCCUGAGCAAACAGCCACCGCCAAUCCUGCUCUGUUUGCUGAGGAAGACUGGCCCUGAGCUAACAUCCAUGCCCAUCUUCCUCUGCUUUAUAUGUGGGACGCCUAUCACAGCAUGGCUUGAUGUGCGGUGCCAUGUCCCCACCUGGGAUCCGAACCAGUGAACCCCGGGCCACUGAGAAGCAGAACGUGGGCACUUAACCACUCUGCCACUGGCCUGCCCCAAUUGUUUUAUAAUCCAUUUUAUGUUAAUAAGAUCAGUAGUAAUAACCCCAUUUUCAUUUCUGAUUUUAGCAAUUUGAGUCUUAUUUUAUUCUAAGUCAUUCUUGCUGAAGACUUGUCAAUUUGAUUUUUUCAAAGAACCAUUUUUUGUUUUCAUUAAUUCUCUUUAUUUCUUUAUUCUCCUUCAUUUAUCUCUGCUAUAAUGUUUACUGUUUCCUUUCUUCUGCUAGUUUUGGAUUUAGUUUGCUCUUUUUUUCUAUUUCCUUGAGGUGUAAUGUUAGGUUAUUGAUUUGAUAUCUUUCUUAAUUUUAAUCAGGCUCUCACAGCUGUAAAUUCCCCUCUGAGCAGUGCUUUCACUGUCUCCCACAAAUUUUGCUAUGCUGUAUUGUUUUUUGUCCUCUUCAAAGUAUUUUCUAUUUUCCCUUGUGAUCACUCCUUUGACCCAUUGUGUGUUUAAGACUGUGUAGUUUAAUUCCAAAAUAUUUGUGAAUUUUCCAGUUUCCAUAUUUUCCUUCCAUUUUGCCUGAAGAAGAUACUUUGUAUUAUUUCAAUCUUUUAAAAUUUAUUUAGACUUGAUUUGUGGCCUAACAUAUGGUCUAUUCUGAAAAUGCACCAUGAGAACCUGUGAAAAAUGUGUAUUCUGUUGUUUUUGGAUUGAGUCUUCUAUAGCUGUCUGCUAGGACUUUGGUAUAUAUGUUUGUUCAAUCUUGUAUUCCCUUGCGAUAAUCUGUCUAGAUUUUCUAUUUUUAUAAGAAUUCUCAUUAUUGUGGAAUGUCUACUCCAUCCGAUUCUGCCAGUUUUUGCUACAUAUGUUUUGGUGCUCUGUAGUGAGAUAUGUAUAUGUGAAUGAUUAUUAUGUUUUCUUAGAUUGCCAUGUUUAUAGAUAUAUAAAAUCUUUCUUUAUGUCUUAUAACAAUUUUUGACUUAGAGUCUAUUUUGUCUAAUAUUAGGAUAGCCACUCCAGCUUUCUGUAGAUAAUUAUUUGUAUGGAAUAUCUUUUUUCCAUUCUUUCAUUUUCAAUGUUCUUGUGUCUUUGGACCUAAAGUGAGCCUCUUGUAGACAGCAUGUAGUUAGAUCAUGUUUUCUAAUCUGUUGUGCCAAUCUUUCCCUUUUAAUUGGAGAGCUUAGCCAUUUACAUUUAAAGCAAUUGCUGAUAAGGAAGAACUUCUACCAUUUUGCUAUUUGUUGUCUAUGUCCUUUUACUUCCUCAAUUCCUCCAUUAGUGUAUAAUUUAUUUUAUUAAAUUGAUAUUUUCUGGUGUCUCAUUUUAAUUAACUUGUUACUUCUUUUACUAUAUUUUUGAGUUACUUAGUGGUUGCCUGGAGGACUACAAAUAACAUCUUAAAUGUAUAACAAUCUAGGACAUGUUAAUACCAAUGUAUCUUCAGUGGUAUACAAAUGUCUGCUUCUAUAUAUCUCCAUUCCCCACGCCACCUUUCUGCUGUUAUCACAGAUUGCAUCUUUAUACAUUAUAUAUCCAUCAACCUAGAUUUAUAAUUAUUGCCUUUAUGCAGUUAUCUUUUAAAUCAAAUAGUUAAAAAAGGAUUUAAAAAGAGAAAAUAUCUUUCAAAAAUAUAUUUACCUAUGUAGUUACCUUUCCUGGUGUUCUUUAUUUCUUUAUGUAGAAUUUAGUUAUUGUCUAGAGUCCUCUCAUUUUAGGCUGAAGGACUGCCUUUAGUAUUUGUUGUAGGCAGGUCUGGUAAUGACAAACUCUCUUUUCCUUUUUUUUUUUAACCUAGCCAUGUCUUAAUUUGUCCUUCAUUUUUGAAAGAUAGUUUUGCCAGUUAUAUAAUUUGUGCUUUACAGUGUUUUUCUUUAAGCACAUUAAAUAUAUAAUCCCACCUCCUUUUGGCCUCCAUGAUUUCUGAUACGAAAUCAACUAUUAAUCUCACUGUGGAGCCCUUGUAUCUGAUGAAUGACUCUUGUCCUACUGCUUUCAUGAUUAUCUUUAUCCUUAUUUUUUGACAAAUUGAUUAUUAUGUGUCUAGGUUUAGAUCUCUUUUAGUUUAUCCUGCUUUCAGGACAUUGAGUUUCUUGGAUGUGUAGAUUUGAUAAUUUUCA